rnacentral:rRNA from 1 species
UGCAAGUCGAACGAGUUCUGAUUAUUGAAAGGUGCUUGCAUCUUGAUUUAAUUUUGAACGAGUGGCGGACGGGUGAGUAACACGUGGGUAACCUGCCCUUAAGUGGGGGAUAACAUUUGGAAACAGAUGCUAAUACCGCAUAAAUCCAAGAACCGCAUGGUUCUUGGCUGAAAGAUGGCGUAAGCUAUCGCUUUUGGAUGGACCCGCGGCGUAUUAGCUAGUUGGUGAGGUAACGGCUCACCAAGGCAAUGAUACGUAGCCGAACUGAGAGGUUGAUCGGCCACAUUGGGACUGAGACACGGCCCAAACUCCUACGGGAGGCAGCAGUAGGGAAUCUUCCACAAUGGACGCAAGUCUGAUGGAGCAACGCCGCGUGAGUGAAGAAGGCUUUCGGGUCGUAAAACUCUGUUGUUGGAGAAGAAUGGUCGGCAGAGUAACUGUUGUCGGCGUGACGGUAUCCAACCAGAAAGCCACGGCUAACUACGUGCCAGCAGCCGCGGUAAUACGUAGGUGGCAAGCGUUAUCCGGAUUUAUUGGGCGUAAAGCGAGCGCAGGCGGUUUUUUAAGUCUGAUGUGAAAGCCCUCGGCUUAACCGAGGAAGUGCAUCGGAAACUGGGAAACUUGAGUGCAGAAGAGGACAGUGGAACUCCAUGUGUAGCGGUGAAAUGCGUAGAUAUAUGGAAAGAACACCAGUGGCGAAGGCGGCUGUCUGGUCUGUAACUGACGCUGAGGCUCGAAAGCAUGGGUAGCGAACAGGAUUAGAUACCCUGGUAGUCCAUGCCGUAAACGAUGAAUGCUAGGUGUUGGAGGGUUUCCGCCCUUCAGUGCCGCAGCUAACGCAUUAAGCAUUCCGCCUGGGGAGUACGACCGCAAGGUUGAAACUCAAAGGAAUUGACGGGGGCCCGCACAAGCGGUGGAGCAUGUGGUUUAAUUCGAAGCAACGCGAAGAACCUUACCAGGUCUUGACAUCUUUUGAUCACCUGAGAGAUCAGGUUUCCCCUUCGGGGGCAAAAUGACAGGUGGUGCAUGGUUGUCGUCAGCUCGUGUCGUGAGAUGUUGGGUUAAGUCCCGCAACGAGCGCAACCCUUAUGACUAGUUGCCAGCAUUUAGUUGGGCACUCUAGUAAGACUGCCGGUGACAAACCGGAGGAAGGUGGGGAUGACGUCAAAUCAUCAUGCCCCUUAUGACCUGGGCUACACACGUGCUACAAUGGAUGGUACAACGAGUUGCGAGACCGCGAGGUCAAGCUAAUCUCUUAAAGCCAUUCUCAGUUCGGACUGUAGGCUGCAACUCGCCUACACGAAGUCGGAAUCGCUAGUAAUCGCGGAUCAGCACGCCGCGGUGAAUACGUUCCCGGGCCUUGUACACACCGCCCGUCACACCAUGAGAGUUUGUAACACCCGAAGCCGGUGGCGUAACCCUUUUAGGGAGCGAGCCGUCU